rnacentral:rRNA from 1 species
AUUGAACGCUGGCGGCAGGCCUAACACAUGCAAGUCGAGCGAGCGGCGGACGGGUGAGUACUGUCUGGGAAACUGCCUGAUGGAGGGGGACAACUACUGGAAAGGGUAGCUAAGACCACCUACCAUCAGAUGUGCCCAGAUGGGAUUAGCUAGUAGGUGGGGUAAUGGCUCACCUGGGCGACGAUCCCUACCUGGUCUGAGAGGAUGACCAGCCACACUGGAACUGAGACACGAUCCAGACUCCUGCGGGAGGCAGCAGUGGGGAAUAUUGCACAAUGGGGGCAAGCCUGAUGCAGCCAUGCCGCGUGUGUGAAGAAGGCCUUCGGGUUGUAAAGCACUUUCAGCGGGGAGGCGUUACCCGCAGAAGAAGCACCGGCUAACUCCGUGCCAGCAGCCGCGGUAAUAC